rnacentral:rRNA from 1 species
GAUGAACGCUGACAGAAUGCUUAACACAUGCAAGUCUACUUGAACUUCGGUUUGGGUGGCGGACGGGUGAGCAACGCGUAAAGAACUUGCCUCACAGAUAGGGACAACAUUUGGAAACGAAUGCUAAUACCUGAUAUUAUGAUUUUAGGGCAUCAUAGAAUUAUGAAAGCUAUAUGCACUGUGAGAGAGCUUUGCGUCCCAUUAGCUAGUUGGAGAGGUAACGGCUCACCAAGGCGAUGAUGGGUAGCCGGCCUGAGAGGGUGAUCGGCCACAAGGGGACUGAGACACGGCCCUUACUCCUACGGGAGGCAGCAGUUGGGAAUAUUGGACAAUGGACCAAGAGUCUGAUCCAGCAAUUCUGUGUGCACGAUGAAGUUUUUCGGAAUGUAAAGUGCUUUCAGUUGAGAAGAAAAAAAUGACGGUACCAACAGAAGAAGUGACGGCUAAAUACGUG